GAGCGAUCAUAAGGGAGCUGACUGCAAAUCUGCCGUCAUCGACUUCAAGGUUCGACUCGAGCGAUAGUGAGAGAACGUUGCCGCAGGCAACGGCCGGAAGGGUGAGGAGCGAAGCGACGAAUAAUCCUUCCCCCACCACCA
rnacentral:sRNA from 1 species